GGCGUGCAUGGAAACACUCUAAAGAAGUGUUUCCGGCACACUUCUGUACGGAAAGUGUUCCCGGGAACAAAAAAGGAACAGAAACGCGUUUGGUUGCGUUUUUGUUCUUUUUUUGUUUUUUUGUUUCUGGAACGAAAUAGAAACAGAAAAAAGAAACAAAAAAAAGUUGUUUCUUUUGAAAAGAAACACUUCUUCGACGGAACAAAAGAACAAAAACCAAAGAAACAAAAAGAACAAAAUCGGAACAAAGGCGACGAACUCUUCUCCUUCGUGCGUGCUCGUCGCUCCUCUCGUCGGCUGAAGCUUCGUUCUUCCUUUUCCGGCGUCUCUCCCAUCUCUCCGGCGGCUCCCACUCGGCUGACUCUCCGGCGACUCCAGGUACGUUUCCGGUGCUCCUCCUUCUCCGGUAAGCGUUGCUCCCCCUUCGGCGCUCCUCCUCCGGUCAGCGUUGCUCCCCCUUCGGCGCUCCUUCUCCGGUCAGCGUUGCUCCCCCUUCGGCGCGACAGAUCUGGGACGGCUCGCUCGAGCCUCGAGCGAGCGUUGCUCGCCCAGAUCUG
rnacentral:lncRNA from 1 species